UGAGUGGUUGGACUCACCUCACUUGCUGACUGGACUAGCCCAGCAGGUUCUACGGGUGAGAUCACUGCUUGGCUCUCUCAUUGCUAGGCCUGGUGGGUGGAAGAGGAACUGAAAUAAAUGGCCUGACUUUGGAUUUCAGAAACUCUCUUUCCUAUUCCCUCUCCCAAAUGCUUUCUUCUGCCAACUCUCUAGGGACUGAAGCAUUCAUUUCCAAACUCAUGCAUUCAUUCAUUCAACAAAUAUUUACUUAAUACCUAUAAUGUAUCAGGCACUGACCUAGGCUUUAGAAAUAUAAUAGUGAACCAGACAUUUCCUGCCUUUGAGGAUCUAUGAUGAAUAAUGAUAGUACACAGUGAAAAAUAUUACCAUUCGCAGAGCUCAAUAAUCCAAGUCUCUUAAAAAACAGAAAGUGCACAAAUGCUCUUUGGAAAGGUAUGGCAUGGAAGAGUAUCUAUAGAUUUGAACAUAUAAAAUUCACGGACAUGUGAAGACUUGUUCAUCUGUUUCACUGUGAGUCCAGAGUAAACCCCACCCUCCCUGCCAUACCCUCCAACUUUGUCUCGGAGAAGGCCACCACUGCAGCGCUGCUGGAAGCACCACUCUCAGGGGUCUCAAUCCACAUUGUCUUUGAGUGUCUUCAGCAUGUUGUCUCACAAGUACUCAGACCCAGUAGUAAGAUUAAAAUAUUCUACCAUAAUGUUCACCUUGGCCUUAUCACGUUAAAGAAAGAAAAGCAGGUGAUAAAGGGGCCUAGGAAGAGCGACCAGGAAAUAUCAUCUGUGUUUAGGUCAUAGGCAAAUCACAGGAUGAAUAUUUGCCUCCUCUUUCUCCUACAUCCAGUCUCUCUUUUGAUGAGAAGAAGAAUAACCUCAUUCUGAAUCAAUGAAAAGACUUCCGUCUUCUUGCCACUGGAUAUGUGUUAUCUGCACUUACAGAAUUGAAAGUGUGCAUCAAAGGAGCAUUCUCUUGGGAUGAAAGUUUUAUAGGGGAAGUCUGGAUGCUGGUGGAGCAGUGAGAAAGAAGAACUUAUUUUACCUCUGACUUGAGCACUGAAAAGAUACACCUUCACCACUGUUGCAACUCCAUACUUCUAAGAACUGCCAGAACUACUUUCCAGUGACUUCUUUCUACCACACUUCUCCUCCUCAGUGUAAGAGGAUGAAAGCACAUGAUGAUAUUUGAAGCAAGAAGAUUGAAGAAUUGCUGGCUGCUAACCCAAGGCUUGGAUUAGUACAAUCUUUUUAGUACAAUCUUUUUAGCUUUUUACUGUGAAGUUCAGGGAUCACAAAUGUUGUUUCAUCCAUGGAACUUUUGCAACUUGUUAUUUUCAUACCUGAGAUCUGGGGGGAAAGUUUAGUCUAAAUGGUUUCUAAAAUAGCCAUUAGCUCAGGAGAUAUGCAGCCAAUGCAUGUGACAGGAGCUUUGCCCACACUACCCUGUUUUUUGGUCAUGUAGUUUUUUUUUUUUUUUUUUUUUAAUGAUGUCAUUUAAAAACUUUGCUUUUGGGGAAUGAUUCCCCCCACUAUUUUUCUAUAGAGGGUCAGGAAAAUGUAUAAAUAAUUUCUGGGCUUGGGUGCAGAAGAUAUUCAUGCUGACAAACAGAAAUCUAAAGUGUUAAAGGAGAUUGUCCUUUGAAGAAACUUUUCCAGGUUUGAGUUCUAUAUUUUUGGAUUUGACUCAGUGAAAAAUCUUUACUGAGUACCUAGUAUAUGCCCAGCAUUCUGCUGCAUUAUAGGGGUUGGGGGACUAUAGUCCAGUUGGGAUACAGGAAGGAUGGAGAGAGAAUAUAUAUAGUUACAGCACAAGGCAGAAUAAGUUAUAGUAUACAAUGGGCUAUGGAAUAUUGUGGAGGAAGAGAGCAUUUUUAAUUAGUGGAGUCAGGAAACGCAUUACCAAGGUGAUGGCAUUCUUGCUGGGUCAUGAAGGAUAGAUAGGAUUUUGGCAGGUGAGGAGCCAUUCUAAUGCAAGAGAACAAUAAUAGAAAAAGCCCGGUGGUCCAUUGAGGGUAGAAGCAGGGAAAUAAAGGGCGGCUGGGUUUAUACUGUGAUUACUGA